UGAGUAAUGCUUAGGAAUCUGCCUAUUAGUGGGGGACAACAUUCCGAAAGGAAUGCUAAUACCGCAUACGCCCUACGGGGGAAAGCAGGGGAUCUUCGGACCUUGCGCUAAUAGAUGAGCCUAAGUCAGAUUAGCUAGUUGGUGGGGUAAAGGCCUACCAAGGCGACGAUCUGUAGCGGGUCUGAGAGGAUGAUCCGCCACACUGGGACUGAGACACGGCCCAGACUCCUACGGGAGGCAGCAGUGGGGAAUAUUGGACAAUGGGCGAAAGCCUGAUCCAGCCAUGCCGCGUGUGUGAAGAAGGCCUUUUGGUUGUAAAGCACUUUAAGCGAGGAGGAGGCUACUUAGAUUAAUACUCUAGGAUAGUGGACGUUACUCGCAGAAUAAGCACCGGCUAACUCUGUGCCAGCAGCCGCGGUAAUACAGAGGGUGCGAGCGUUAAUCGGAUUUACUGGGCGUAAAGCGUGCGUAGGCGGCUUUUUAAGUCGGAUGUGAAAUCCCUGAGCUUAACUUAGGAAUUGCAUUCGAUACUGGGAAGCUAGAGUAUGGGAGAGGAUGGUAGAAUUCCAGGUGU
rnacentral:rRNA from 1 species